CCGUUGUUGGAUUUUAAAUCUAUUUAGUGGAGGGGUGUCAAACUCAUUUUCACCAGGGGGCCACAUUAGCUUUUUGGUUGCCUUCAAAGGGCUGAAUGCAAUUUUAGGACUUUAUAAAUGUAACUACUCCUUAACUAGGGGCAAGGAGCUUGGAGCUGCCGCCGGGUAGAAACAAGGUGCCGGGCAGAUAAAACAAGGUAGAAUGCUGGAUUCAGCCCACAGGCUUUGUGUUUGCCACAUGUGAUUUAGCUAGUAAAGUUCUCAAGUUCCUUAGUCCAGGUGAAAUAAAAAUCACAGAUAUUGUACCAGAUAUUUAUUGCCACAAAAAUUCUGCUAACAAGACACCCCAGAGGUCUGGAACAGUCUCAUCUAGAUGUGGUUCCUCAUGGUCUUGAAAUCCAAGGACUAAGUGAUGAGUGUAAUUACUACCAGUAUACUCUGUAAAUAGGUUUUGGAGCCAGAGAUGGCAAUGGUUGCUACAGAAAGAAAGGAAGGAAAUGACAACAGUUGUCAUUUUUAUUUUAAGGGGGAAAGAAUAGGGUAAUUUUUCAGUGUUCAGCUAUUCUCACAAUAUAUGCACAGACUACUCAUUCUUGCUAUUGUAAAUGAGGCUGUAACUGAUAAAUAUGACUACCUAUUCCAACUUUCUUUGCUUGCAGCUAAUAUCAUAGCUGACUGAAGACUUUGCCUACUAGGGUGAUUUAAGCCUUCGUUUCUUGAGAUCUAAGCCCUUGGGGAUCAUCAGUGUGAACUGUGUCAAACUAAACAAAGGGAAUGUAGCAGAUUGGAGUACAACUCUGAGGUUGAAAUGACUGGGAACCAAUCAAUAUUUGUUCAAUAAAUGGUCUCUACUUUACAGAUGAUGAAACUGAAGCACAACAAAUUUACAUUAAAUCUUAAGUGACAGGAUUUAAAACCGUGCUGUGUGGCUCCGGAACAACCCCUGUACAGAGUUAUGUUAUACGACAUCUGCACUCUCAGUGUGGAGACGGAAUGUGGGCGCUGGGCCUUCCAUAUCCAGGACGUAGUCAGGUUUUGGCUCUUCAACUUUAACUAGCCUUGUGACCAAGAACAAGUUACUUAAUUUAUCUGUUUCAGCGUUUUUAUCUAUACAAUGGAGGAACCGUUUGAGCUAAGAUGUUGGCUAUUAUUAACUCAAUAAAAACUUAGUGGGCACACUGUGGUAGGCACUGUAUGUAUGGUGGCAUAUAAGAUAGACAUAGUUCCUGUGCUCAUGGAUCUUUCAAUAAAAAGGACCUGCACUGAGCCAUAAAAUAGAAAUAGCAACGUGUGGUCCAUUCAUCUGCCUCUCUCGCCUUAGGUUAUGAAUACCAAGACUGAUGAUAUAUGGGAACAAAACAACGACUGUGAACAGAAGAGGACAGAUCAGGAAAGAAAACAAGCCUGGAACAAUCAAAAGUAAAGGGAGCAAGACAAGGAACAGGAGUGAAAUCAGAAAAAUUUCCAAGAAAAAGAUUAUCACCCAGUUUUCCUAAGCCUAGCAUGUAAGUCUGGAUUUUACAAGAAAAGGAGAGGGAAUUGAUCAAGAGAUUCUUGUCAUAGAACAGAAAGUUAGUAGGUGAAAUGAGAAAUGAUCUGUGUGAGACCUGUGGAGGUAACAUGGUAGAUACUCUCAAUAUACUGUAAAAAGUGUGAUUAAAGGGAAGAAACAUUGAAAGAAAAUUAUCCACGUGUGCUGAUUUGGAGAACAGCCACACUUUGUAAUAUGAACCAACAGAUAAAAUCAAAUUUGUCUCUCAGUGGGGAAACAUAAGCCUUUUUUCAGGCUGUAUUCCUCUGCUACCUGCCUUGUUUUCUUCACUAUAAAUAAGCAUUGGGAAAAGAAUAGGCUUUAGAGAUUCUGCCCAAGCAGUUCACAGACCAUCUUCUUGGUAAUCACUAGGUAGCUCUUUUUAAUUUUUUUUUUCAGUAAAGUUCACAGGAUUUAACCUUGGUUUUUGAUAGCAAGUAUUAUUUUUAAUAUUUAUCAAGCUACCAAAAUAUCUCUGAAGUUAUCUUAGAAUGUAUGUAGAGAAGGAAAAGUGAACAUAUACAUGUAUAUAUGUGUAUAUAUGUAUAUAUAUGAACAUACAGAUAUUUCAGUCCUUAGGGUGAUGUAAAUUCUGCAGAUUUUCCUUAUGCACAUUAUUUUGUAAUUUGACCUAAAUAAUUGUCAGGGUAAGACCAGCAUUUGCCAUAAUAAGAUAGUACAUGGAUUAAUUGACCGAUUAUAGUAUUUUCAGCAGCACCUAAUGGUAAAUGGCUUAAUUGUGGCUAAAUUACAGGCAAAGUGAUUGACAAAAAUUGUUCCCAAGUAAAUCUCAGUUUACAGUGUUCAUCAUCAAACUUGUCAUCUUUACUAAAACUAAAGGUAAGGUUAUUGUUUAGAUCAGAAAUACCUAUUUUUGUGAUUUUUUUUUGUUUAGGCUAAAGGGACAUCUAUAAGUACAAAGAUAAAUCCAUCUUUCACACAGAUACCUUUUUAUGUGUUUGCAGUUUCAAUUUAAAGGAUAACAAGUUUAUUUCAAUUUCUAUGGUGCAAUUAUGUUGACUGUAUUGGGAAAACAUGAACCAAUACAUUUAACUUUAAGAUCUAUAGCUAAUUGUAAAAAGUUAGUCAUGUAUAUAACAUUUUUGAGGAUUUCAAAUUCAAAAAUAAUAUUUAACUUCUGAACAAUAUAUACAUUUAUGCAUAUAUCAUAAUAAUAUAGUAACAAUAUCUUAUUGACUUACUGAGCAAAAUAUGAUCAUAAAAUAUGUCAUUCAGCCCAGAAACACAGCAAUAAAAAUUUAGAUCAAAAUAUCUAACAACAUCAAUCUAUUAGCAAUGAUAUUGUUAUAAAAUAUUUAUGACACUUUGAUUUAAAAAAACCUGAGAUUCAUUCAGUAUCCUUUUGGCAUUUGAACUGACAUCUCUUCAUCUUCUACACAAUUGCUGAUUCAGAGAGUAAAUGGUUAGAUCUGUCAGGCAGCUUUAUACUUUCACAUUAAAAUUCAAUAUUAUUUAGACCCAAGUAGAUAGAUUUAAAAAUAGCACUUCUGAUCAGGAAGGAAAAGUAUAAAUUAUAAAGUAAGUGAAGGAACCACUGGCCAAUUGUUUGAAGAAAAAAAAUACACCAUGUACCAAAAUAAAUUCCUGGUAGGUAAAGAGUUUAAUGUAAAACUGAAUCCAUAAAAUUACUACAAGAAAAUGUAGAGAAAUACUCACAUAAUCUUGGGAGUAGGAAUUAUAUUGCAUGAAAUGUAAAGUAAAAGGAUAAUUUUUAAAAGGCAUAAAAAACUAAAAAGUGAUUUUAAAAAUCACCAAAAAAUUAAAUGGCAAGUACCAAAUUGAAAGGAAACAAAAAUCUUCAAAAAGUUGAAGGACAGUUGCCAAACUGGAAUGGAAAAAGGGACAAAGGAAUAGGAAGUCUUACAAAUCAGUUAGAAAAAGAUAAAUAGCUAAAUAGAAAAAUGGGCAAAGAACUUCUGCAGGUAAAUCAAAAAAGAAGGAAUAAAAAAGGUCAAAAAUAAUUUUUUUCAUUUUUGUCAGUAAUUAAAAUGCAAAUUAAAACUAUUAAAACACUACCUUUGCCUAUCUAAUUGGUAAGAAUUAUUUUAAAAGAUAAUAACCUGUAUUAGAAUACUACAUCUGUUCUCCAUUGCUCUUUGACAAAAUAUCUGAAAAGUACAUACCUUUUAACCAGCAAUUCCACUUCAAAAUAAUGCUAAGGAAAUAAUUAAUGAUAUGUGCCAUAAGAUGUUUACUGCAAUUUCCUUCCUUGCUCACCUCCCUCUCUAUCUUCCUUAUGUUUGAUAUUGAUGAAAAAGGGAAAAGAUUAAAAUGUCCC